AACGAACGCUGGCGGCGUGUUUAAGACAUGCAAGUCGAACGGAUUAGAGUUGUAGCAAUACCGCUCUGGUCAGUGGCGCACGGGUGCGUAACACGGGAGUUACAUGCCCUGCAGUGGGGAAUAGCCCGCCGAAAGGCGGAUUAAUACCCCAUGGUCCCGCAAGGGUAAAGGUGGCGCAAGCUGCCGCUGCAGGAUUGGCUCGCGGCCUAUCAGCUAGUUGGUGAGGUAACGGCUCACCAAGGCUACGACGGGUAACUGGUCUGAGAGGAUGAUCAGGCACACUGGAACUGAGACACGGUCCAGACACCUACGGGUGGCAGCAGUCGAGAAUAAUUCACAAUGGGGGAAACCCUGAUGGUGCAACGCCGCGUGGAGGAUGAAGGUCUUCGGAUUGUAAACUCCUGUCAUCUGGGAGUAAGACCUGGCGGUGAAUAGCCGACAGGGUUGAUAGUACCAGAAGAGGAAGGGACGGCUAACUUCGUGCCAGCAGCCGCCGUAAGAC
rnacentral:rRNA from 1 species